CAGGGCCCCAGUCAGAGCAAUGGCGUUGGCCACCAAGUGGAGGUGCAGGCAAGGGGCAGAAUUCACCUACAAGAGGAGGCUUGAAGCCCAGUGGGCGAACCUCGAAGCGUGCAAUACGCCCUGAAUUGUCAACAGCAUGUGGGACUGAGAAGUUGACAGGAACAUGGCCAGACAGUGUGCGCUCCAGGACAAGGGGAUGCGAAGGGCAGUUGAUGAAUGUUGGUGGUUCUCUAUCUGCAAGUACACACAACCAAGUCAGGUCUUGUGGUUUUCAUACUAUUACAUAAGUUGUAAUACAUAUUUGUGUAGGUAAGUGAGCUUAUGGCCUUUUUAUUUCACUGUAUAGUGAAACAGUUCGAUAGCAAAAUAUCUUAGCAGUAUGUUCAGUCAGAGUUUGUCUUACUGAAGCAGUCGCUAGUUGUGAAGUCUGAAGCAGGUGAGUGAAGCAGAUGGAACAAGAUUGAUUAACACUACCUAGAAAUGUUUACUGAAGUCUAUAAAGUGCGAGAUGAAGUGAUUAUUUUUCAUUUUACACCCACUACAAAGUGGCUGUUGCUCCCUGCAUUCGAAUAUGUGCUGAAUCACUCGUACAGGAUGAUAGCCACUGUUUCAUUAUGUAUCACUCGGCAGCCACAAUAAAGCACAGUUCCCUACUGA
rnacentral:lncRNA from 1 species